rnacentral:rRNA from 1 species
CUACGGGCGGCACCAGUGGGGAAUAUUGGACAAUGGGGGAAACCCUGAUCCAGCAAUGCCGCGUGUGUGAAGAAGGCCUGCGGGUUGUAAAGCACUUUUGGUUGGGAGGACUGCUUCUAGCACUAAUAUUGUUGGAAGUUGACGUUACCUUCAGAAGAAGCACCGGCUAACUCCGUGCCAGCAGCCGCGGUAAUACGGGGGGUGCAAGCGUUAAUCGGAAUUACUGGGCGUAAAGCGCGCGGAGGCGGCUAGAUCAGUCGGGUGUGAAAGCCCCGGGCUUAACCUGGGAACUGCAUCCGAUACUGGCUAGCUUGAGUACAGGAGAGGAGAGUGGAAUUCCACAUGUAGCGGUGAAAUGCGUAGAUAUGUGGAGGAACACCAAUGGCGAAGGCAGCUCUCUGGCCUGAUACUGACGCUGAGGUGCGAAAGCGUGGGGAGCAAACAGGAUUAGAUACCCCUGUAGUC